UACGUAGGGGCCUAGCGUUGUCCGGAUUUAUUGGGCGUAAAGAGCUCGUAGGCGGUUUGGUGAGUCGGGUGUGAAAUCUCCACGCUCAACGUGGAGGGGCCACCCGAUACUGCCAUGACUAGAGUCCGGUAGGGGAGUGUGGAAUUCCCGGUGUAGCGGUGAAAUGCGCAGAUAUCGGGAGGAACACCAGUAGCGAAAGCGGCACCCUGGCGUCGUACUGACGCACAUGUGCGAAAGCGUGGGGAGCGGAACGGG
rnacentral:rRNA from 1 species